rnacentral:misc_RNA from 1 species
GAAGCGUGUCUCUCUACCCAGGGGCUUGCUGGAAAAGCGAUACGUAACGCCUGCAAGUGUUCUAAUAGGUAUCCUCUUUUGCCGUCAAAUACAGUGAAAAAUGGUAUUAGAGCCCCUCAGUAGAUGUCUGGUUCGGGGAUGAGCUAGGCGGAAGCUAAUAGGCUUGUAACAUCCCGUGUGGCAAAGGGAAGGUCUUGGCUAGAGCGGUCCUCUAGGAAGGCAAGGCUCACUGGUAUCCUUGUCCAAAUGAGUGAAAACUAAUCACUAGAGACGUCU